rnacentral:rRNA from 1 species
GUCCACGCCCUAAACGAUGUCAACUGGUUGUUGGGUCUUCACUGACUCAGUAACGAAGCUAACGCGUGAAGUUGACCGCCUGGGGAGUACGGCCGCAAGGUUGAAACUCAAAGGAAUUGACGGGGAUCCGCAUAAGCGGUGGAUGAUGUGGUUUAAUUCGAUGCAACGCGAAAACCUUACCCACCUUUGACAUGUACGGAAGUUACCAGAGAUGGUUUCGUGCUCGAAAGAGAACCGUAACACAGGUGCUGCAUGGCUGUCGU